CUGGAAUUCCCAUCGUCCUCUCAGAUAUUUUCCUUUGAGAGGUUGGCAGGCAGGAUUUGUGCUGAAACAACCAGCCGGUACCUUUCUCAAUGUAGCAAGUCUUAAAGCCUGAUGCAGAUGCUUGAAUGUGAUUUUGUUAUGAUGGAAUGCAGCUUAUUCAGCAGUCCUGCAAUGAUUAAGCCACACUGAUGAACAUUGCAUUAGAAGUGAGGAGAAGUGUUCCCUGCACAUCUCAACUAAUGCGUAUCAUUGAUCAAGGCAGUCUAGUUCUUCUGUGGAGGAUCGGAUGCAGGUGACUGAGCCUGAAAAGGAACAGAUGUGGAAGAUCAGGUGAGAUCUGUUUGCCUAAUCUAA
rnacentral:lncRNA from 1 species